rnacentral:rRNA from 1 species
GGAAGAGCCCAAGAUUGAAAGCUGGCGCCUUCGGCGUCCGCAUUGUAAUCUCAAGAAGUGUUUUCCGCUUCGGACCAUGCCUAAGUCCCUUGGAAAAGGGCAUCAUAGAGGGUGAUAAUCCCGUACAUGGCAUGGAGCGCCCGAAGCUUUGUGAUACGCUUUCUAAGAGUCGAGUUGUUUGGGAAUGCAGCUCAAAAUGGGUGGUAAAUGCCAUCUAAGGCUAAAUAUUGGGGAGAGACCGAUAGCGAACAAGUACAGUGAUGGAAAGAUGAAAAGAACUUUGAAAAGAGAGUUAAACAGUACGUGAAAUUGCCAAAAGGGAAGGGUAGGAGGUCAGAGAUGCGUCGCAGGAUUCAGCCUUGCUUUUGCUUGGUGUUUUUCCUGCGUUGCAGGCCAACGUCGGUUUUGGGCACUGGAGAAGGGUAGGAGGAACGUGGCACCUCUCGGGGUGUGUUAUAGCCUCCUACUGGAUACAGCGACCGAGACCGAGGAACGCAGCGUACUCGUAAGAGCGGGCCUUUUGGCACCUUUACGCUUAGGGCGUUGGCAUAAUGGCCCUCUACCACCCGUCUUGAAA